GCGCCUGUAGCUCAAUGGAUAGAGCGUUGGUCUACGGAACCAAAGGUUACAGGUUCGAGUCCUGUCAGGCGCGCCA
rnacentral:tRNA from 1 species